UUAUGUGCACUAAAGAGCACACGGUGAAUGCCUUGACACCAAACGACGAAGAAGGACGUUGCAGGGUGCGAAAAGUCUCGGUGAGGUCCCAAGCAACCUUUGACCCGGGAAUGUCCGAAUGGGGGAACCCACUCCGAUUUAUCGGAGAAUCAUAUGCUGAAUACAUAGGUAUAUGAAGAAGACCUGGCGAAGUGAAACAUCUCAGUAGCCAGAGGAAAAGAAAUCAAUAUAUAGCUUCAUUUUGAAUUUUUCAUUCAACUAAUUCUCUUUACUGGGAAUUAGCAAUGAGAAAUUCAGUGAUGCUGAGAUUCCGUGAGUAGUGGCGAGCGAAAGCGGAACAGCCCAAACCUUAAGCAGUGUUGAACAUGUAUAUUGGAUGGUCGCAAGACUUAUUUAGUAGCGUGUUCUUAAAAGCCAGGCUGUUGCUCUUAAGGUGUAGUAGGAUGUAAUGUCGGCUACCUGAUAUGCCGGAUCCUGAUAUAUUUCUAUAAUCGAAUACUCCUGGAACGGAGAACCACAGAAGGUGAUAGUCCUGUAGAUGAAAUACUAGUAUAUCUCGAUGGUUAUAUUCCUGAGUACGGCGGAACACGUGAAAUUCCGUCGGAAUCUGCCGCGACUAUGCGGUAAGGCUAAACACGUUUGGUGAUCGAUAGUGAACAAGUACCGUGAGGGAAAGGUGAAAAGCAGCCCGGAGAGGGCGAUGAAAUAGUUUCUGAAACCGUGUGCUUACAAUGAGCUGGAGCCCUAGAUUCGUUCAGGGUUACAGUAUUCCUAUUGAAGAAUGAGCCUGCGAGUUACUUUAUGUGGCAAGGUUAACCCCGUAUCGGGGGUAGCCAUAGGGAAACCAAGUCUGAAUAGGGCGUCAAGUCGCAUAAAGUAGACCCGAAACUGGGUGAGCAAUCCAUGGCCAGGUUGAACCCUCGGUAAAACGAGGGGAAGGACCGAACCCACGCGCCGUGCGACACGCGGGGAUGAGUUGUGGAUAGCGGAGAAAUUCUAAUCGAACUCAGUAAUAGCUGGUUCUCCUCGAAAUAGCUUUAGGGCUAGCUGUAUGUGUUCCCCACGGGGGUAGAGCACUGGAUGAGAAGUGGGUCCUUCGGGAUACCCUUUUCAAUCAAACUCCGAAUACCGUGGAUGUAUAGCAUGCAAGUUAGACUGUGGGGGCUAAGCUCCAUGGUCAAAAGGGAAACAGCCCAGAUCGUCAAUUAAGGUCCCUAAAUUACCACUAAGUGUUAAAGGUGGUGUUAACUCUUAUACAACCAGGAGGUUGGCUUAGAAGCAGCCAUCCUUUAAAGAUAGCGUAAUAGCUCACUGGUCAAGAGUUUUCGCGCCGAAAAUGUACCGGGGCUAAGUGGUAUACCGAAAUUACGGGAUUAGUUUCUGACUUGUCAGAGGCUAAUCGGUAGAGGAGCAUUCCUAACUGCGUUGAAGCUGGACCCGCGAGGGCUGGUGGAGUGUUGGGAAGAGAGAAUGCAGGCACUAGUAGCACAAAUGCCGGUGAAAGUCCGGCACGCCGAAAACCCGAGGUUUCCAGGGCCACGAGAAUCGUCCCUGGGUGAGUCGGUCCUAAGAUGAGGCUGAAGAGCGUAGUCGAUGGACAGCAGGUUAAUAUUCCUGCACUUGGUAUAGUUUGUUAUAUAUCCGCAUCUUAAUGGUGUAUGCGAUCUUCUGGCUAUGGUCGUCCCGCAAGGGAAAGGGAGCGUCUUCGGACAAUUCCAAUAUACAUUUGAUGGGUGCCUAGAAAAAAUAUAUAACGCGUGGCUAUAUCAAACCGUACCGCAAACCGACACCGGUGGGUAGGUCGAGAAGACCAAGGCGAACGAGAGAAACAUAGUUCAGGAACUAGGCAAAACAGCGGCCGUAACUUCGGGAUAAGGCCUGCCCCUCUUACGAGGGGCCGCAGCUAAAGACUCCAUGCAACUGUUUACCAAAAACACAGCUCCCUGCAAAAGCGCAAGCUGACGUAUAGGGGGCGAUGCCUGGCCAGUGUCAGAACGUUAAAGGGAGAGGUCAUUUCCGACUUGUCGGAAGGCAGCUUUGAACUGAAGCGCUGAUGAACGCCGGCGGUAACUAUAACCGUCCUAAGGUAGCGAAAUUCCUUGUCGGGUGAGUUCCGACCCGCACGAAUGGCAUAAUGAUGUGGAGACUGUCUUAACUAUGUACUCGGCGAAAAUGCAAGUGUCGUGAAGAUGCGACGUACCCGCA
rnacentral:rRNA from 1 species